CUUCUUUCGUUUGUCCUCCCCGCAUCCAUUUUUCCUUCUUGUUUUGCACCUGUUGUCUGCUGUGUUUGUACAUGAAUGAUGAAUCUAGUUUCUUGCCAUGUCUCUGCUGCUACUUAUUGUGUAGCCAGGCCAUUGUACUUGCUGCCUUAUGGGUUGUUCCUUUCCUGUUAAUCUCUUCAGAAUCCUAAUCAUGUCCUGUCCGUUAUUAAUUUCAGAUGCUACCCCUAAGCCGGUUCUUCAGGUCAUUGGUGUGAAGGAGCUUACCAUAUUCCAAGUCAAGAGCCAUCUGCAGAUGUACAGAGGUCCGAGCACUUGCAACGAGAAGAAAGGUGAAGCACAAGUCAACUGGACAAGGGGACCAUGCCGUCGAAGUGUGCAUGCAUUGAUGGGCGCAGGCAGCAUGCAUGGCAGCUUUCGUCGUCAGUGUGCGUGCAUUGAUGGGCGCAGGCAGCGGUCGACCAAGGCGCGGGGCUCGCCUGUUGCGCUCCAGUGCCCCACUUGGUACGUACGUACCGCUGCGAUCAGUCAUGCCCUACUCUCUCGUAGGGAUUUUUUCACUGGUCUAACCUCUUGUUUGAAGUUGAGCAUAAAAUGAACCCAGUCUGAAAAGAUUUCAUGAUCGAUCCUUUUAGCGCCACAACCAGUGACGUUGCAGCUGCACGUAGAAACGCCACUCCACCGUGACGUUUCUGAUCUACAUUCAGACGCCAGUCCAACUCGCGUUGCAGGCCAGGUCAAAACGCCAAUGUCAUUGGCGUUGCCAUCCAGGCGACAAACGCCAUUAACCAUGGCGUUUCCAUCCAGGCAUCUUCGCUCCUUUGCAGUUCC